rnacentral:misc_RNA from 1 species
ACCUCCCUGACCGCCGCAAUGGCGGUUUUUCGAAGCGGCGUCGGCAACGAUGCCGCUUUUUU